CUUGCGGCGGUCUCUCAUUCGCUUGGUGCAGGUCGGGACCUACCUCGCCGGCUACUAUGACGUCAGCUUCCGGUGACGAUGAAUACCUUUUUGUUUGCUUAUGGAGGAGUUCGGGUCCCGCCUUGCAUCAACUGAAUAGGAAACUGCGGCGAAU
rnacentral:pre_miRNA from 1 species